rnacentral:rRNA from 1 species
UACGGAAGGGGCAAGCGUUGUUCGGAAUUAUUGGGCGUAAAGGGCGCGUAGGUGGUCUUGUAUGUCUACCGUGAAAGCACACGGCUUAACCGUGUAGAGUCGGUGGAAACUGCAGGACUUGAGGUUGGGAGGGGCUGGUGGAAUUCCCUGUGUAGCGGUGAAAUGCGUAGAGAUCGGGAGGAACACCAGAGGCGAAGGCGGCAACCUGGACAAGCACUGACACUCAACUGCGAAAGCGUGGGGAGCAAACAGG